rnacentral:lncRNA from 1 species
GCUCGCAGAGGUUGAGGAGAAGAUAGACCAGUUACAUCAAGAGCAAGCGUUUGCUGACUUUUACAUGUUCUCAGAACUUCUUAGUGACUACAUUCGUCUCAUUGCUGCAGUGAAAGGUGUGUUUGACCAUCGGAUGAAAUGCUGGCAGAAAUGGGAAGAUGCUCAAAUUACUUUGCUCAAAAAACGUGAAACUGAGGCAAAAAUGAUGGUCGCUAACAAACCAGAUAAAAUUCAACAAGCUAAAAAUGAAAUAAGAGAGGUAAUUGAAGAGUGGGAGGCAAAAGUACAACAAGGAGAGAGAGAUUUUGAGCAGAUCUCUAAAACAAUUCGAAAAGAAGUGGGAAGAUUUGAGAAAGAACGAGUGAAAGAUUUUAAAGCUGUUAUCAUCAAGUACUUGGAAUCAUUAGUACAAACACAGCAACAGCUGAUAAAGUACUGGGAGGCAUUCCUACCUGAAGCCAAAGCCAUUGCCUAGCGUUAUCCCCGUUAAGGAGACAUUGGAUUCCUCAGUGAGAUCAUCUAAAAAACAUCUAAAUAAACCACUAUAUAUUUUAUGAAUUACAUGUGGGUUUUUUAUAUAUAAAAACAUAUGCGCUGACAUUUUAUUACAAGCUGCAUGUCCUGACCUUCUUGGAAUUAAGUGGACUGUGGCAUGACAUUCUGCAAUAUUUUGCUGAAUUGAACACUAUUGUGUCUUAAAUACUUGCACUAAAAGGUGCAUUGCAAGGCCAGAAAAUUUUACAAUCUUUUUUCUUUAUGUUCUGUAGUGUGUUUACCCUCAUUAUGAAACAAAUUAGCAAUGCAUUGAUUAAUGUUCACUUAUACAUUCCUGUACAGAAAUUAUGAUUUUUGUGAUUAUAGUAAUAAAAUGAUAUUACUUGUGAAAUAUUAGUAAUAAAUUAUUUGAGUAU